UUCAGUGUUCGAAGUGCGCCACUGAAAAAUCCAGCAGAAUUCAGAGCACUGAAAGUACCCGGAUGGUGCACUGCAAACGGGUAAAACAUGUAAAACGAUGGACACUACUCGCACUAAGCGGCCGCCAUCUUGGCGACGUAGCGGAAGAGGAGGAGCCAUUUCGCCAGCUUUUCAUUUUAUUUCUAAAACAAUGGCGGACAGCACAAGCGGUAGACCACGAAGCUACAGACCGUAAAUAGACGUUUCCUGGAGGUGCUGCUGGUCCUCUGCUGCCCUCCCGACAUCUGGCUCCAAUGACCUCUGGCACAUCACAUCCACCUCCAGGGCCUUUAAGAAGAUGGACCGCCAUCGCGUCUUCAGUAUCCCGAAGGACCUCUCCACAACACACCUGGCCUUUGACAGGCAGCGGUUGUAGCUUGGAGAUGGUUGUGGACAGGCUGCCUGAAGGGGGUCAUGAGGCAGAUGGGUUGGGACAGGCAGGGGUAGCCACCAUCCCCAAGGAUACAGUAUCCUGGUGGAGGGGAUGACUGCUCAUAGAAGAUGGGGCUGUUAUUCAGGACCCUGGCAUCAUGCACUGAGCCCAGGGCCUGUCGAAGGCCCUGGCCACCACCCGAUAGGAGGUGGCGCUGGCAAGCCAAAAAAUACAAACUAGACAGGAGAUCUCGGGGCCCCAACCGUGGUCAGUCAGCGCCCAGCACAGCCAUGAGGGCGUUGAAUGACUCUGGUGAGCCUGAAGUCCACCCUCAUGUCACUGUGGCCAUCACAAUACAACGCCAGCAGUGGCAUUGCAACAUGGAUACGGCAGCGCCGCCUGGGACUGGGUGGCUGCUGUAGAGUGUGGGGAGGGGAGGGGAAGGGAAGAUUAUAUUAAUAUGUAAGUCAUUUUAUCAAUAAAAUGUUGUCAUUGA